UUGACCUCAGACAUCAGACACAUUCCCCGUUUUUCUUCUCACGCAUUCUUGCGCACAGAACUCAGCGAGGAGGAGCGUCUUUCCCUCCGCGUGCGCCCAAUGGAACAAAGAGCAGCGUUCUCAAUGUGCACGCGUUCAGCCAAUAGGAGCGGCUCCCUGCUGAUGACGCGACGCAGCGGCUCUGGUCUCUUCCCACUGCGCAGGAAGCGAAGGAAUCAGAAGUUAAACGCAAAGGUAACACGGCGCUCUCUCAACAGAAACAGCAGCAGUUUUUACUGUAACCGCUCGGAGUUUCCCCACGAACGCAAGAGGAACCCGGCGUCUAGAGCAGAAUGAAUGGUUAUCAAGGCGCCAGAAACAGAGCGGGAGCUGUUAGAAGAUGCAAUGCUGGGAAGUCUUUUAAACCCUGGUUCUUCUGGUGACUUGGCGGAGCUCAACCAUGGAAGUCGGACUGUUGCUGCCCGAUGACGACCGAUAAAGGUCCAGACAUGAAGGAGACCGCGUCUUGUCUGUGGCAUCUCACAAUGAGAAGAGCUUUCAGCGUGUCGCGAGUUUCCAAAGUUGGGAUAAUAGAGACACUGGAUGAGGUUGGAGGCCAAAUUCCUCCUGGGCGGCUGACCCAGUCCUGCACCACGGUAAAGGGCCAGGAUACUGUCUAAGAUUUGUGGAUACUGAAUCCAAUCACCUUUUGUUAGCAAGACUUUGCGUGAUUAAUAGAGAAUGCUUUUUAUUAGGCCAUCAAAAGAAACACUUUUACAUUUUGUAUGUUAAUUGUAUUUUUAAUUAUUUGUACAUGAAUUUAUAACUUGUGUAUCGUAUUUUCAAGUGAAAAAGAACAUUCAUCUAGAAGUAAUUGGUUAAUAUUUUUGCCCCGCCCACAUGGCCUUGAUUACAUCAGCAAGAAAUUGAUGCACAAUAAGGGGCAAACAUGGAAAAAAUAAAUAGUCAAUUUUGUAAAAAUGUCCAAACCAUCAAAAGGUCAUAAAGUU